CCGUCUAGUCUUCAUCACCAACGCCCCUCAUCAAGUCAUGAUUUGUGGGAAGCAGUGGCUGGACGUAGAGUAAACCUGUCUGUUUAGGAGGGCCGCACACAGCAAAGUGCUCUCCCUUAAAGGCUUGACAGGACAUG